rnacentral:pre_miRNA from 1 species
ACAUGAAUCACCAGGGGGUCUUGUUAAAAUGCAGAUUCUGAUGUAGUUCUGGGGAGGGGCCUGAGAUCUGCGUUUCUAACCAGCCCCUGAGUGAUGCCCAU